CUUAACACACGCAAGUCGAACGUGAAAUGGUAUUUCCAGUGGCGAAAAGGUGAGUAACGCGUAAGGACCUGCCCUUGGGAGGGGAACAACAACCGGAAACGGUUGCUAAUACCCCGUAGGCUGAGGAGCAAAAGGAGAAAUCCGCCCAAGGAGGGGCUCGCGUCUGACUAGCUAGUUGGUAAGGCAAUAGCUUACCAAGGCGAUGAUCAGUAGCUGGUCCGAUCUAUUACUCCCUCGCUACAUUAAUUGUCGCAGCUUUGUCUACGUACGCGUGUACCUACACACAAAAACACAUAUAGAUACAUGCGUAUCUAAACGGAGCG
rnacentral:ncRNA from 1 species